UACGGAGGGAGCUAGCGUUGUUCGGAAUUACUGGGCGUAAAGCGCACGUAGGCGGCUUUUUAAGUCAGGGGUGAAAUCCCGGGGCUCAACCCCGGAACUGCCUUUGAAACUGGAGAGCUAGAAUCUUGGAGAGGCGAGUGGAAUUCCGAGUGUAGAGGUGAAAUUCGUAGAUAUUCGGAAGAACACCAGUGGCGAAGGCGACUCGCUGGACAAGUAUUGACGCUGAGGUGCGAAAGCGUGGGGAGCAAACAGG
rnacentral:rRNA from 1 species